AUAGAGGCCUACCAUGGUGGUAACGGGUAACGGGGAAUUAGGGUUCGAUUCCGGAGAGGGAGCCUGAGAAACGGCUACCACAUCCAAGGAAGGCAGCAGGCGCGCAAAUUACCAAUCCCGACACGGGGAGGUAGUGACAAUAAAUAACAAUACGGGGCUCUUUCGGGUCUCGUAAUUGGAAUGAGUACAAUUUAAAUCUCUUAACGAGGAACAAUUGGAGGGCAAGUCUGGUGCCAGCAGCCGCGGUAAUUCCAGCCCCAAUAGCGUAUAUUAAAGUUGUUGCAGUUAAAAAGCUCGUAGUUGAACUUCGGGGUUUACCCAUUGGUCAGGCUUAAUUGUCUGUACUGGUGAGAUAAAUCUCUACCUUCUGAGGAACUUUCAUGUCAUUAAUUUGGUGUGAUUGGAAAUCAGGACUGUUACUUUGAAAAAAUUAGAGUGUUUAAAGCAGGCUAACGUCUGAAUACAUUAGCAUGGAAUAAUGAAAUAGGACGGAUUGAUUCUAUUUCGUUGGUAUCUAGGAUCACCGUAAUGAUUAAUAGGGAUAGUUGGGGGCAUUAGUAUUCAAUUGUCAGAGGUGAAAUUCUUGGAUUUAUUGAAGACUAACUACUGCGAAAGCGUUUGCCAAGGAUGUUUUCAUUAAUCAAGAACGAAAGUUAGGGGAUCGAAGACGAUCAGAUACCGUCGUAGUCUUAACCAUAAACUAUGCCGAC
rnacentral:rRNA from 1 species